rnacentral:lncRNA from 1 species
GCACACGAAGAGCCGCGGCAGAAUUGACUUGCCGGGCUCGUAGUUUCCGGUGCAAUUCCAGGUAAACGGUUGCCGGAUUGAGACGCCAGCGGCCUCUAGCGCGGCGGUGAAGUUUGAAAUAAUGAUGCUUGAUGUCCGACUGCAGUUCUCGGGGCUGGAGAAGAAGGUGUUGACAGGCCUGGCGAUGUUGGAUGGGGGCUGAAUCGUAAUGACAGCGCAGGUGCGACAGAUGGGUGUCGGCGGGGGUGGGGGUGGGGGAGGUGGAGGUGGAGGGGUCGGGGGAGAUAGGGGGAGGGGGCGGGGGAGGUGGAGGGGGAGGUGGAGGGGGAGGGGGCGGCACCAUCGGUGACGGUGGCUCGGGCGACAGCGGCGCCGGUGGUGGGAGCGGUGCCACCGUACAGACUGGGCAGCAUCGACUGGCGUUAUGGCUGUCAAAUACAGCGUACCUGCGAGCAAACAGGUAAGCAGGUGCACAACGGUGUCACGCACCAGCACAAACCAGCACCGGGCCGUCCCCAGCUAGGCGAGCUCGACCCGUGCAAGCCUCUCUCCGUACUCACUUGCACGUUCCUGUCGUGGUGCCGCACAGCUGCUGGAUGCUGGCGCAGGGCUCCUUGGUUGUCAUGCAGAUGGAAGUGCCGGGAAACGUGGUGGCAUUGAAUUGCAUGUCGUAGAUACGGACAUCGUAUCCGAACAUUACCGUACCUGCAAGACGGGAGACGGAAGUGCGUGGGUACUUGGUCCCCUUGCGGAGUGGUCCAGAAAUGCGUCGCGGAAUAUUCUCCCCGACCUACCUAGCUCUAGGUCCAUAUGGACAUACGCUAGCCAUAGGUAAGGAACCUUGUCCUGUUACAGCCCGGAAAUAGGGGCGCUUGCGUACCGUUUGUAUCCGUUCCCCGCUUCGCCGUCCACCGUGGACACGGUGGACCAGCUGGACCACUUGCGGCCGUUGAUCUCCACCUGACUCGUGACCGGCUUCAAACAUCUCGCACCUGUGCGCGUGCAUGCGUUUCGUGCAUAGUUACAUGCAUACGUGCGCACGCAUCAGGCCCGUAGUAGGAAUCGGCCAAACCAUGUCGUCCAAGUGUGCACGCGGAAUGCGGAUGGCGGAUUCAUGGUUUUAUCCCUUUCCUUGCCCUUGCCCAUCCACCAACUCCCUGGCUACACAAACACGCUGGCACCACCGCGUCCAGUCCCCAGCCCGUGAACAGCUGUCCACGUACCAACGGAAAAGGAUAUCUUGUGCACGUUGCGUUGCAACGCCGCACAGCACGUCGUGUUCGUGGUGCAACCCACAUGUCGAACCAUGAAGCAGUGCCUCGUGCCGGCCAUUACCUGCAGCAGGCGAACAAGCGCGUGGUGCGCAGGCGAAGGGGUCGCAAACACAUGGUCUUGAGCCGCCAACAAACGUAGAAGGACGGCUGAGCUUGCGAGUGAAAGAUGGAUCCCACCUCAAACAAGCAACUACGUGAGCUGGAGGCAGCCGCGUUCAAGCAGUGGAGUCAUGGUGCCUGGCAUGCAACACGAAAGGCAAAUGUUGGGAGGGCUCUAUCUGGACCACUCAC